rnacentral:lncRNA from 1 species
AUAUAAGAUUUGUCACAUGGUCUUGUAUUGGCUUCGUUAUCCAUCAACGUGAAGCUUUGAAGCCCUCUUUGUCUGUUGUCUUGUUUCUUCCCUGUUUCAGCUAGGCAGAUGGGAUUUAAAGAUAGAAGACAUUGCCCUUUGCUCUGCAAGUUAGCAACAGAAUACAUCAGGAAAUGCGAUGGUUGCGAAGAGGAUAUAUAUACAUAUUUCUCUAAUGAACCAGAUGUGGAUUCACUGUUUGUUAAGCUCGUGGAAGAGUUUGAGAGAUGCAUUCUUAGUUAUUUUGCAUUUCAUUGGAGUCAUGCAGAUCUUAUGAUUAGUGAGGUCAGCAUCAACAUGUAUAUACUAUGUUGGUACUAUAUUGCUUCAAAUAUAUAAGAAAACUACAAAACCUAUGAUAGAUACAUGUUCAAAUCCGACACAUCCGAGAAAACUACAAAAACUAUGAUAGAUACAUGUUCAAAUCCGACACAUCCAAGUUCAAAUAACAUAUAGAAAAUGACUUGUUUUUUAUCAUAUUGUUUCAGGUAUUAAGUUCUGAUGCUGAACCCAAGAGAAAGCUCAAGCAGAUUGUCAUGGCAGCAACUAGGUUGGGCAUAGUCUAUUCUUUGAUUAUUGUUAUUGUCAGAUCAUAAUAAUAACUAAAAAAAUUUAUUGAAAUAAGGUAGAUCUGAAGAUUUUCGAAUUAAUAUAUCAACUUUAGAUUAUAUCUAUUUACGGCAAGAAACUUGGAUUUUAAAACCUUAAAACUAGCGUAGCUAUAGUCUCUCACCAUCGUCGUCACUGCUGACAAGUAAUACUGAUUUCUACAAAAAGAACUUCGGUUUUCUAAUAUAGGGAACAAAGAUUUGAGAGGGUGACAAAAAGUCUGAAGGUGGCUAGGGUUUUCAAUACGUUGGUGGAAGAAAUGAAAGCAAUGGGACUCACCUCAACUGAUGAUUCCCGAUGUACAGAGGUGAUGGCUCCAGUGGCUCACAGUGAUAGAAGCCCAGUGCUGCUACUCAUGGGAGGUGGGAUGGGAGCUGGGAAGAGUACCGUCCUUAAGGACAUCCUCAAAGAGUAAGCUCGUCCUAUAUCCGACACUUAUCACCGAGUAACUCGAUCAUAACGUAGCAGACAAUUAGUCUCCUUUUGUUCCUGUAGAAGUAAAGAAACCAUUUGUAUGGAUGACUAUUUUAGUCAAGUAGACCUUCCAUAAAGUUUUCUUUUGAAAUUAGUAGUAAAUAUGAGUACUUACAAGGAACUAAUGUUGAGUGUUUUGCUUAAAAUAUGAACAGAACAUUCUGGGCUGGCGCAGCAGGAAAUGCAGUAGUGAUCGAGGCAGAUGCAUUCAAAGAAUCAGAUGUCAUAUACAGAGCCCUCAGCUCCAAAGGUCAUGCAGACAUGGUUCAUACAGCAGAACUGGUAAGAGUCACUUUCUCAGCCUCAUCAACUUUCACUGAUAGUUUCUUUAGCAAACUGAAUGAUUUCAAUUGCAUAGGCUUAAUGGCUUAAUACAGUAGCUAGCAGUAAACAAAGUUUUCUCCCAGCAUGUACAGGUUAUAAUCUAUUGAAACAAAGAGUUUCAAUGCAUUUCCCCAUCUCAUUCACUCCACUUCGAUCCUAUGAUUGGCAUCUCUAUCAUCCAAGCUGGUUGCACUUUUGGCCAAAAUGUUGAGAUCAAACAGCUCAUGGAUUAAACUUCCUUUAUUUCUAGAAGUAACACUAGGUUGCCUUUCUUUUUUAUGUGUAUAUGUUUUAGUAAUUAACUAGACUCAAAAACUAAAACAUAAAAUCCAUGCAACCUGAAGGAAAAUGAUUGAGUUGCAUUAUUAACUGAAAAUGUCAAACAUCUACAUUUAGAAAAUGCAUACCAACGGCAACCAAUUCAAAUAUUUUUCCAGCCUUUCCAUAAUGCAAGAGCCUCUGUAAUCAUUUUCUGAGCUACUCUGAGGUUGGACUUUCUUCCAUCAACCUUUAACCAAUUAACAACAUCCCAGUAAUCCAUGUCCUGUAAUAUCUUGUCACUGCCACAUGUGGCCCUACAAAAGUUUCCUUCCCACAUGAAUAAGUGUAUCUUUACAUUCAACAGUAAUAAAUAUUUCAUUUUUCUGUUCUCCACCAAGUCAACAUAGACUCAUAGUUCUCAAACAAAAACUCAAUGUUAAAUGUACAAAUCAACAAAAAAAUACUUCAUAGGUAAAUGAAUAACAUGGUAACCAUAUUAAUGCUUCUCAUUGGUUUUAACAACUGUCCCAAACAGGUGCACCAAUCAUCUACAGAUGCUGCAUCAUCCCUCCUAGUGACAGCACUCAAUGAGGGGCGGGACGUGAUCAUGGAUGGAACACUCUCCUGGAUACCAUUUGUUGUGCAAACAAUAACUAUGGCCAGAUGUGUCCAUCGCCGGCGAUAUCGUAUGGGUGUUGGUUACAAGCGAAAACCUGAUGGGACUGUAAUUGAGAACUACUGGGAGCAAAUUGAAGAAGAUCAAUUGCAAGAAGGAGGGAAAAGGAGGAAGCCAUACAGAAUAGAGCUGGUUGGGGUUGUUUGUGAAGCCUAUUUAGCGGUCAUUAGAGGCAUAAGGUACUGCACCAUGGAAAACAUUAGAGACAGUUGUCUUAGUUUUAGUACGAAGUCUUUUCCCCUUUAGCUGAGAUAUUGAUUUUAUCAAGAAAUUCAAUAUUUACAGGAGAGCUAUAAUGUGUAGACGCGCUGUAAGGGUGCAGUCACAAUUGAAAUCCCACAAGAGAUUUGCAAAUGCGUUUCCAACAUAUUGCCAACUGGUUGACAGUGCUAGGCUGUAUUCCACCAAUGCUUUGGAAGGUCCACCUAAGGUGAAUUAACUAUCCGACAUUUUCAAUCUUUAUUUACUUAACAGGUGACAUAAAACUGAAAGGAACACCUAGUUCACCAAAGAAUUUUAUCAUGCAAGAAAUGCUAUUUGUAAAUUGUUUGACAUUUCAAUACAGGAGGCUUUUGUCUCUGGUACAAAAUUAGAUGAGGAGAACUGGCUUUCUCUUAAAGCCAUGAACCCUGCUCAAUCUUUCAGGAAGAUCAUAAGCAGGCUUACCACUAGUCUAAUUUUAUUGGAAAAAAACCAUAGUAGUAUGAAAAACAGCUGACACUGUUGUAAAGUAGCAAUCUACAAAUAGAACUCCUUUCUAGGCAUGCAAACUUCCAUUUUCUUGUUCAGGACUGAACUCAUUCAAGUGUCUGGUUGUAGAAUUGGUGAGAGAGUGGUUUUGAACCCUCACAAGUCCAAGACAACUAAGUUGAGAUUAAACCAAACCUAAGCGGAGAAAAAUUCCAGCAGCCCAGUUUACUCCAUUAUAAUCCUAAAACUGAAAUCUAGGAGGAAGAGAAAAUAGCCUUGUCUGUUACAGAUAACUGCAGGCUGCAGCAUGCAGGGAUAAACAAAUAAAUUGUGAAGGAACUUCAUUGCUAGCAAAAUUACUCCAUGCAACCAAUUAUGUAGCAUUAACAUGAAAAUUUUUGUAAAGUUGAUAGGAUGGAAAGAAAGAGAGAGAACCUUGCUAGUUGAUCCAGAUGAAAUUGACUGUUUAAAGAAAGUGGGCAGGCUGAAUGAAGAAGCUGAGUCCAUAUAUGAACUUUACAAGCACCCCAACCCGGCGUGUGAAGCUGGUUCAAUCUGGA